rnacentral:lncRNA from 1 species
AGAGUCAAGGGAAACCUAUAGUAAGAGCAUGCAUCAUGAUCUUCGGUCAAUCCGACUUUCUAGAAGCGAUCAGAACGAGAAUAAAGGGGAGACGAGGCAUGAGGAAACAACAAUAACGAUUAAUUACAUAGCGGCAAGAAACUAUGGUGUAAGAGAUGUCGGAGGUUCGGUCAUUGGUUGAAUGGAUGGAUAGGAAGGAGCUGUUAAAAUCCCGUCCUGGAGGUCGUGGUGAUGAUGACAAUCGACGGGAAGGACUCCGGCAAGAAAUCAGCAGGAGAUUGGGGUGAUUUCGAUUAGGGAUUUUCGCCCAAGCAGUUUGGGAAAAAACCUAACGUUUAACGGAUAGAAUGAAGAAGAAAAGAAAGAGGGAAAAGAGGGAAAUGCAAUUUGCGCUAAUUACCAAGAAAUGUAAUUAACUGGAUGUAAUUAAAUUAAUUUCUUAUUCAUAAUACAUUGUCUUAUAU